CAGGUAAUGAACUGAAUUUUUUGAUGAUUUGCAAAAAAAAUUAACCCAACAAAAGAACCAAACAAAGCCUGCAAGGCUACUAGUUACAGACCCCAAAACAUGCAACAACAUUAACCUAGAUUAUGGGAAAAUUACAUCAGUUCCCAAUCCAAUUAUCAGCAACUAUUAAACAGUCCUUACUAACACGUUUCUUAGCUAUGUUUUCUGCUCUAGAGUUGGUUGACUGGUAAACAUGAUGGGAGAAACCAAAAGGAACAUGUUUAACUCAAUGGCCUCUUCUAAUGUAUUGAAUAAUCUUCAUGGAUGCUCACUAUCUCUAAGCCACUUAUUAGAGCUGCUGGAGUCACCAUCUAUAACAAUAGGACUGAAAUUAUGAGUUACUUCCAAUUUCACACUUUGGAGAAGGGUCACAGCCUUUUCGCAACUCAAAUACCUCACGUCAAUGGCGCUUGAAAAUUCCAUCACAACCACCCCGACAUUGUUAUGAACCAUGCCUCCUAUGGUAGCUUGGCCUUGGUUGCUGAUUGAACUUCCGUUGAAGUUAAAACUUAAAAUUGCCAAGGGGUCUCUAUUGUGCUAUGGCUUUAGGAGGCCCCCUGCAUCAGCAAAUCAGCUCUUCUCAUUUUUUUGGAAGCUGAAUCUGAGUAACACUCGAACUCAGUCUUACGAGCCUACUCAGCCAUAGGGUCAAAUUUUUUCUAUGAGAUCACUUCCACACAGCUCACUUUUCCUGCUCUUUUCUCUCCAACUAGAUGUGCUGCUGUGCUGCCUUGAUUGUAAUCUUCCCAAGCAUAUUUCUGAACAAGCUUCACAGAGUGCACCCCCAACUUGAAAUGAAAUUGCCUACUGCCUGAAGAAUGACUCGAGAGAUCCUGAAUCUGGAGAAAAUUCCCAACGAUAUCUUCCAGGGGAAAUAACAAUGGAGAAACACGUGGGUAACGGUCUCCUCUGCUUCGCAACACACGCUUCAUCUGUUCAGUGUUUCCAUUCCUCUUGCAUACAAGUGAUUAACUGUCAAAACUCUAUCAAGACAACAAUUCAACCAAAAGUGUUAACCUUUGCCAGAAUAAUGCAAGACCAGACCAUUUGAAUCCAAUAGCAAGGGGUGCUUGGAGGCAUUAGUGGCAGAUAUCUUGAAUGGAGCGAAUUGAAAAAACCCCCAUUCAGCAUCCAAAACCCAAAUUCUAUGAUCAUGACUUUUUAGAAAAUGAUAUACCUCAUUCAGUAUUUACAUCAGUUGAGAUAAUUGGUGGAUUUCCUUGUCUUUAAGGCUAUGCUCUGAAUCUCGGAGCCCACACUACCCUCCCAGCCAGUUGAAAGAAGCAUUCAACAGCUCUCCCUUUGUCUGGGUAUAGUGUAUGAAGAUUCAAAAUAAAGAAACAGAGGUUCCUCUGAGCACCAAAGGUCUUCCCAGAAUCUCACCUUGGACCUGACCCCGAUUCUGAAUCUAGUGUGCUUUGAGAGCAGAAAACAGAAGAGAUCCCUCUCCAUUCACAGAGACUUCUCACCCUGUGACUGCAUUAAUAUUCCAGCCUUUAGCUGAGACUCUGUAUUUAACUACUUUCUAAAUGCUUUCCAGGAUAGGAAUUUUGCCAUUUCCAAUGCACCACCACCCUUUUGCCGAUAUAGGUUCCUUAACCACCUGAAUUGGUUUUAAUGCCUAGAAGCUAGAACUCCUGCCUUAAAGGGCUUGCAGACAACAUUCCGGGGCACUAGAUGAAAUUCGAAGUUGCCCUUUUCUUGUGAUUCCUGAGAAAUCUCUUCUGAAUGGACUUCAGUGCACCCUCAGCUUGACACGAAAUUGCCCACUGCCUUAGGAAUGACUCAAUAGAUCCCAAAUCUGGAGAAAAUUCUCGACCAUAUCUUCCAGACGAGACAGCAAUGAGAAACAAGACUUUUAAACAGAGAGUAGAAGUGUAUUGGAAUGUUUGCAAGAACCACAUUUAGGUUUUUUUUUUGGGGGAAUCCGAUUGUAGAACUUCAACCAAUCUACCAUUCAAAAGAAAACCCCAAAUCGCUCAUGAUGAUGACAACGAUGAGGAUGAGAAGGGCUAAAACUAUGGCGAUGCCGACGAUGAU